rnacentral:rRNA from 1 species
UAUUUAAUCACAUGAUUUUUUAAGGAAAGGUCAGCCGAACUAAGAUGGGCUCGCGUUCUAUCAGCUAGUUGGUAGGGUAACGGCCUACCAAGGCUACGACGGAUAGCUGGUCUGAGAGGACGAUCAGCCACACUGGGACUGAGACACGGCCCAGACUCCUACGGGAGGCAGCAGCAGGGAAUAUUGUGCAAUGAACGAAAGUUUGACACAGCGACACCGCGUGUGGGAUGACGGAUCUAGGUUUGUAAACCACUUUCAGGAGGGAAGAAAAUGACGGUACCUCCACAAGAAGCCCCGGCCAACUACGUGCCAGCAGCCGCGGUAAUACGUAGGGGGCGUAGCGUUGUCCGGAUUUAUUGGGCGUAAAGAGCUCGUAGGCGGUUCAACAAGUCGGUCGUGAAAGUUCAGGGCUCAACCUUGAAAUGUCGAUCGAUACUGUUGUGACUAGGAUACGGCAGAGGUGAGUGGAAUUCCGAGUGUAGCGGUGAAAUGCGUAGAUAUUCGGAGGAACACCAAUUGCGAAGGCAGCUCACUGGGCCGCUAUCGACGCUGAGGAGCGAAAGCUAGGGGAGCAAACAGGAUUAGAUACCCUGGUAGUCCUAGCUGUAAACGAUGGAUACUAGAUGUAGGAAUUGGUUUAACGAUUUCUGGUAUCGUAGCUAACGCGUUAAGUAUCCCGCCUGGGGGAGUACGGGUCGCAAGACUAAAAACUCAAAGGAAAUUGACGGGGACCCCCGCACAAAGCGGCGGGAGCAUGCGGGCUUAAUUCGAAUGAUACCCCGUAAAAACCUUUACCCUGGGACUUUGACAUUAUAAGGGGAAAAAGUUUAUAAGAACAUAUAAAUGGUGCAUUUAGCCGCCCCUAAUACAGGGUGGGU